CUCCCCUUUCCCCUCACCCUUAGCCAUGUCACAACCCUCACUCCCUCUACCCUUAAUCCCCCCUUUCUCCACCCUUACCUCCCCCUUAUAUGCCCUUUUUUCACGCUUUUUACCCCUUUUACUCAGACCCUUAGUCACGUCACUACCUCUUCAUUCACCCUUAGAAGCCCUUAUAUUUAAACUCUUAGCCAUGUUACUACUCUUUUACCCUUAGACCCCGCCCUCCACCCUUUCUUCACCCUUAGAAUUCCAUAAUGAAGCCUCCCAUCACCCUUUUCCGCUACCCUUAGAAUUCCAUAAUGAAGCCCCCCAUCACCCUUUUCCGCUACCCUUAGAAAUCCUUACACGUAUUCAGACCCUUAGCCCGUUAUACACCCUUAGCUUCCCUUUUCACCCCUUUCCAUUCCCCGCUUCCCUUAGCACUUCCCCCUUAGUCCUCCUUUCCCCUUAGCAAAUACGGCGCUCCCCUUACCCCCCUUCCCUUUACCAUUAGUGUGCCCUCCCCGUCCCCAACACCCCUGCCACCCCUUACUCACUUCCCCUUAAAAAUGAUCCUCCCCCUUACCACCCCCGUAUUCCUCGCCCCCAUUACCUAAGGCGCCCCCCCACAUGACUAUCACCCAUUAACACCCCCCUUUCCCUUCCCUCCCAUUACCUAAGGCGCCCCAUUCCCCCUCUCCCCCUCCCCUAAACCCUAUUAAUUUAAGGGGUGCGAUUCUGAAACCCCUUUGAAAUGGAGUCUAAUCCCUCAUCCCAUUAAUGUUAAGGGUUUCAAUUCCCUUCCCUUUGCAUUCCGAACCCUUUAUCAGAGUUACCCCUUUACCCCCCGUUAUAGGGUCGCUGCCCCCCCCUGACACCCAUACAUAGACCCUCCCCCCUAGACCCUCCCCUGUGUGUGUGUGUGUGUAAGAGAGAGAGAGAGAGAGAGAGAGAGAGAGAGAGAGAGAGAGAGAGAGAGAGAGAGAGAGAGUUAUGAAUGUGUGUGCGUGUGAUGCAAAAGAUCAACACAAUACCUGCCAACUUUGUAUUAUCACUCAGCAUAAGAUUAGUGAGUCGAGCUGCCUGUCUGUCUGUCCCUGAGGUGGUCUAGACUCCAUUGAAAAGUUCUAUUAACAGACUGAAGUAUUAUAAGUUGGGUACAAAAAAGUAAUUCGUCAGGCAGUGUAUUGAGGUUGCUCUGUGGGUUGCAUAGGGUUAAGCAUUGAAAGGUUAUCUUAGGUAAAAAAAGAAGAUUACAAGAAGUUAGUUGUGUCAAAAUUGAACUGAAAUGUCUUAAGUUAGAUACGAAGAAAGGUCGGGUUGUCUUAGGUAAAAAAAUAUUAUAAGAAGUUAGUUGUCGAAAUUCAACUAAAAUGUCAUAAGUUAGGUUCAAAGAAAGGUCAAAUAAAUUAAUAACAAGGGGAUGCUUUCACUGGGUUAAGCAUUGAAGGGUUGUCUUAGGAAAAAAAUAUUAUAAGUUAGUUGUCAAAAUUGAACUAAAAUGUCUUAAGUUAGAUACGAAGAAAGGUCAAAGAAAUUAAUAACAAGGGGAUGCUUUCACUGAUGGAUUGUAAGACUCUAAACAUACACACACACCCACACCCACACACACACACACACACACACACACACACACACUCAUACAUACGUGCAAGCACAAAAUAAGCAUUUCCUCCAUUAUAUUUAUUUUUUCCUUCCGUCCUUUCUUUCCUUCUUUCCUUUCCUUCUUCAUCUAGUUAUAUCUUUUUCUUUCCCUUAACACACACACACACACACACACACACACACACACACACACACACACACACACACACACACACACACACACACACACACACACACACACACACACACACACACACACACACACACCCUUGAAGAUAGCACACUGAAAAGAUUAUGGAGUGUACUGAAAUUAUUUAACUGUGAAUUUGUUGAGGUCUUCCCCUAAAAAAAAAAUAAUAAAAAUAAGUCUUCUAAAGUAUUUAAUGUAGUGUUGAAUUAUUUUUAAGCAAGCAUGCAAAAACUGAAUGGCUGUGUGAGUGUUUAAAGUUAAUUUGACAUAUUUGGGACAUUUUUGGGGGACAUUUAGUUGACUUACCUUACCAAACUCAUCUUACAAUACAUUACCUUCCGUCCUUACUUAGACUUUCCUUAAUACGCAAAUACAUACAUUCAUAUAUACACUACUAUCUAGGCGUGAUCCUGUUCAAAUGCCAGAUUAUAAGGCAGUAUGUUAUAUCCCUUAUCCAGCUAACUAAACUCAUAAUUUCUCUUGGCAUUACUCUCGUAUCAUAAACAUAAAACAUUAUCUUUUUUUUUUUUUUUUUUUUUUUUUUAGUUCUCAGAUCAAGGGAUGUUUUGAUUGUGUUUCCUCCAAAUGAUAAAACUCACUAAUUCUUUUUGAUAUUGCUUCUUCUGUCCCUUUUUUUUGGUAAUAGUAAUACAAACACAAAAUUCUAAGUGUGGUCAUGUUUGAGUAUCGCUUCUGAAGAUCUGAUUUCGCUUCAUAUGAUUGAUAAUACUUCUAAAUUCUUGUCAUUACUUCUGUAUUUUUUUUUUUUUUUUAAUCAUACGAACACAAAUCUAAGUGUGGUUCUGUUAGCUCGUCUCAUUUACAAACGUCUCUAGGUAAAUCUUGUUAUUACUUUUGCACUGUUUUUCAAGAGUAUUAACACAAACAGAAGUACAACAUCUUAAGUGUGUGACCUGUUUAAGAUAUUACUGUUGAAGACCUUAUUUAGCUUCACUGAAUUAACAAAACUCACUAAUUCUUCUUGGUAUAAACACAAACUUAACAUAAUCACAGACUUAUCAGAAACAACUUAACAUAAUCAUGAAUCUAAUUAACAAACACACAUAUCGAACAUCAACAAAACAACACCUGGUAGAUAUUACUGUCGAAGACCUUAUUUAGCAUCGUUGAAUUGACAAAACACUAAUUCUCGGUAUAAACACAGACUUAACCUAAUCACAGACAUAUCAGAAACAACUUCGCAUAAUCACAAACCUAAUUAACAGACACAUUUCGAACAUCAACCAAACAACACCUUGACAAAACACUAAUUCUCGGUAUAAUAAACACAAAUUUAACAUAAUCACAGACUCAUCAGAAACAACUUAACAUAACCAUAAUAAUUAACAAACAAAAAUCUCGAACAUCAACAAAACAACGCCUGGCAGUAAGCUUGCUAAAUGUUCCCUUGUCAGUCCCUUCACGCCUCCACCUUUUAGAGUCAACGCGAUCCAUCACUCACACACAGUCCCUCGUCUGAUAAGGUAUCUAAGCCCACACAGCAGCGUAGGUGAUAGGUUCAGUAACACCAGCGAGGGAGGAUGUCAGGGUUACAUGAUAAAGGAUUGAAUGCCAUAAAACACCCUUUAUAGUAUCAUAUCAGUGAGAGCAUCGGGUUAGAUAGCGAUGUUACGAAUGGAUUAGGUCAGAAAUGGAAGCAAUUCGUCUGUAAUAAGAUCAGAUGCCAUUUAAUCCCCUUCAUAGAAUCUGGCAAAAGGUUAGAUAGUGAUGGUAAGGGUGUUGAGUACCCUAAAUAAAAGAAUCAGUUUCGGUAGUGACAAAUUGUAGGAUUGAGCGCCAUAAAAUUCCCAUUAUAGGCUCAGGGACAGGAUUGGAUUGCAUAGUGAUGUUGCAAGGGUGUUAAGUCCCCUUGCACAUCAGGAUCAGAAACGGCAGCGACUAUUUUAAUAUGAGAUCGAAUACCUUAUAGUCCCCUUAUUAGGAUCAACGGCAGCCUAGGUUUGGACAGUGAUAUUCAAAGUGCCAUCUAAGAGGAUUAAGUCCCCUUGAGUAUUAGGAUCAGAAACGGCAGCGACUUGUGAAUAAUAGGAUCCAAUUCCAUAUGUGUUUCCUUAUUGUGAUUUUAAAAGUGCCAUGGAAGAGUAUUAAGUCCCCUUUGUGUAGUAGGAUCAGUUUCGGCAGCGACUUGUAGGAUCGGAUGCCUUUUAAGUAAGUUCUAAGUGUUUGUGUGUUUAGGUUAAUGGCGCCUCCUUACGCCUCUAUACCCAUGAAAGAGUAUGGCAGCGACUUGUCUGUAAUAGAAUCGAAUGCCUCUAAGUAGAAUCUAAGUAUGCUUUUCUAUGUGUUUUUAGUUUAGUGGCGCCCCCUUACGACUCUAUACUCCACCAUUCCUGCCAUUCAGUGUGCCAUAACGUGUGUAGUAUUAAGGGUCCCGUUUGAAGUGCCAUUAAGGGGGUCGUUUCCCAAGUGCCAUUAUGCCUUAUAUCUCUCCACUAAGUGCCUUGAAAUGUGCCAAGUUUGGUUGUUAGCUUUAUCGAGUUGUUUUCGUUCUUUUGUUCUAGCGUUUUGUGGAGUAUUGUGGAGUGCGGCGUUGGUAUAGAUGUUUGUUAAUGUGCAAUUCCACUUAGAAAGGUGUGCUCGCCAUUUCGUACGUACUCGCCUUUCCAGUUAGUACGCACGUAAGGGGAGGGUGGCGAAAAGUUACUCUGGAGACCUGUGCGUAAAAAUAUAGAAAGCAUGCAAAGAUUUCUCCCGACAACUCCAGUUAGUACGCACAUAAGGGGGAAAAUACUCUGCCAGACCUGUAAAGACGGCUCACGAUACGUCCAAUUAGUACGCACAUAUACCCUCCUUGAAAAACAAGUCCUUCAAAAACACAAUUAUUUUCGGGGCGCGAGUUGAGGCCCUUUAUCAUUGUCCGCGUACAAAUUGGGUUACAUGAACUGCGUAGUGCGUACGAAUUGGCGAGCACACAACACACCGUUAAGUACCUUCCGGAGCGCAUAAAGGCGAUAAUCUGUCUUGUCAUCAUCAAAAUAUGGCUGUGUGAAUAUUUUUUUUUAUCGUAACUUAAGAACAUUCCCUUAUCAGUGCGUGUGUGUGUGUGUGUGUGUGUGUGUGUGUUAUUUAUAAGAUAACAACGAAGGACAGCUUGUGAUAAUGAACUUCAAUAACUGUUUCCUUCAAGAAUUGGUUGUGAAGAAAAGAUAAGAAUAUAACACAAGAAAAAUAGAAAAAUUACUCAGAAUGUUCACGUUAGGAAUUAUGUUUUUUUUUUUUUUUUGUCCUGUUUUUUUUUUUUUACUGUAAUUUAUUUGUCAUUUUUUUAUCAUUCCCGUUUUAUAUUUUGUGUUUUAUCCAAGUCUUCCAUGCCUGUGUUCAUUCAUAUGUUUGUUAUUCAUCUUUUUGAAAUGUUCUCAUCUUCAUUUUUUAUACCGAAAGUUUUAUACAUAUAUACAAACUGUUUGCCUUCAUUCAUUCACGGUCGUAUUAUUCAUCUUUUUAUUGUACUCAUCUUCAUUUGUUUCUAUUUUUUGUUUUUUUUUUGUUUUUUACCGG